rnacentral:lncRNA from 1 species
GAUUCUUCUCCCGGCAUUGUGUUCCAUCUGAUUUCCACUUUGUGUCAGCUCCUGCUAGGGUACAGAAGAUGUGUGCCCUGUCUACCUGUGUGCGCCAACAGCAGUGUACGGAUUGGCCCUGGCCUUGACCCUUUCCAUCAUUUUUAGCAAACAUGGGCACCACGAGGUCCCCAUUUGCAGUCAAAGUCCAGGAUCCGUGACAGAGGCUGGUUUUUUCAUCUCACCUCAUUGUCCCCUGGGAGUCCCCCACAAUAGUUUCUCUGCUGCAGCUCACAGCUGCAAGAUAAGAGAACUGGUCCACAGAUUACUCUGUUUCUUACCAGCAGCGCGACCUCCAGCAAACCUUCUAACCUCUCCAAGUUUAUAGAACCCCUAUCAAUAAAAUGAGAUUAAAGACAUGUUUCUCACAUGUUAAAAGUGUGCUAAAAAUCAAAGCGUUCCUGCUGUGGCGCAGUGGAUUAAGAAUUUGCCUGCAGGAGUUCCUGUCCUGGCUCAGCGGUUAGGAAACCUGACCAUCAUCCAUGAGGACGAAGGUUCGAUCCCUGGCCUCGCUCAGUGGUUAAGGAUCCAGUGUUGCCAUGAGCUGUGGUGUAGGUCACAGAUGCAGCUCGGAUCCAGCGUUGCUGUGGCUCUGGCAUAGGCUGGCAGCUACAGCUCCAAUUUGACACCUAGCCUGUGAAUCUCCAUAUGCCGAGGGCGCAGCCCUAAAAAGACAAAAAAGACAAAAAAAAAAGAAAAAAGAAUUUCACUAUGAAAGUUCAGAUUGCAGGGUUUGAUCCCCAGCCUGGCUCAGUGGGUUAAAGGAUCCAGCAUUGCUGCAUCCAGUGGCUUGGAUUCAGUCCCUGGCCCGGGAACUUCCAUAUGCCAAGGAUGCAGCCAUAAAACAUAUAAAUAAACAAAUGUGCUUAAAAAAAAAAAAAAAAAGUGCUGGAGUUCCCUUUGUGGCUCGUCAGGCUAAGAACAUGAAUAGUAUACAUGAGGAUGCUGGUUUGAUCCCUGGCCUCACUCAGUAGGUUAAUGAUCUGGCGUUGCCUCGAGCUGUGGUGUAUGCAGCUUGGCUCUGGCAUUGCUGUGGCUGUGGCACAGGCUGGCAGCUGAAGCUCUGAUUCCACCCCUAACCUGGGAGCUUCCAUCUGCCACAGGUUCAGCCAUAAAAAGAAAAAAAAAAAUAGUGCUAAAAAUCAAAUGACAAAGUAUAGUAAAAGCAUUAGGAGCUGUAAAGCAUGAUACAAAUAUUCUAUCCCUAUGUUACAACUGGAUUCUCUGCUUUUUUGGUUUUGGGGGUUGGGGAUUGUUUGUUUGGGGCUGCAAUUAAAACAUGAACUUGAAGUGGAGACCUGAGCUGGGCUGGAUCUGCCUCCACCGUGAAGCAGAGCCCUCUUUCCAGACAUGUCACUUCUGUCUUUGAGUUUAUUUGCAUAUGUGCAAUAGAGGCAAGAAUACCAGUAACUCAGAGAUUGCAUCCUCUUUACAUGACAUAGCGAAGGUCAAAGAGCUGUCCCAGGGCAGGUGCACAGUACCUGGUAUCCAAGGGCUCUUAGAACACAGGCUAGGCUGGAAGCCUCCCCAGAGAGUGGCUCUUCCCUGACCUGCCAUGGCCACUUGGACCAGGAGCUGUUCCUCCUUCCACCCAUGGGCAGACUUUAGUUUAAAUUGGGAGAACAGCAUGGCACUGCUUGGGACAGUGCCUGUGUUUUAUUCCUUUGAGAUGCUGAGCCACUCGAAAAAAUAAUGAUCAACCCUCCCCACCGUCCCUUCAGGAUAUUAAGGGUUUUUUUUUUUUUUUGUCUUUUUUUUGCUAUUUCUUGGGCUGCUCCCGAGGCAUAUGGAGGUUCCCAGGCCAGGAGUCCAAUCAGAGCUGUAGCCACCAGCCUACGCCAGAGCCACAGCAACUCUGGAUCUGAGCCGCGUCUGCAACCUACACCACAGCUCACGGCAACGCCGGAUCCUUAACCCACUGAGCAAGGACAGGGACCGAACCCGCAACCUCAUGGUUCCUAGUCGGAUUCGUUAACCACUGCGCCACGACGGGAACUCCAAGGAUAUUAAGGGUUUUUUCAAGCUACAUGACCACUUAAAAAAAAACCACAAAAAACACUUGACAUUCCAACUGUGGUACAGUGGGUUAAGAAUUUGACUGCAGGGGAGUUCCUGUUGUGGUGCAGCGGAAAGGAAUCCAACUGGUAUCCAUGAGGAUUUGGAUUCGACCCCCAGCCUUGCUCAGUGGGUUGAGGAUCCGGUGUUGCCGUGAGCUGUGGUGUAGGUUGCAGAUGCGGCUCAGAUCCCGAGUUGCUGUGGCCGUGGCUGUGGCCGGCAGCUGUAGCUCCUAUUUGACCCCUAGCCUGGGAACCUCCAUAUGCCCUGGGAGUGGCCCUAAAAAAGGCAAAAAGACAGGAAAAAAAAAUAAAAAUAAAAAAAAGAUGGGAUAUUCAAUGUGACAGAUAUAAUCAAUCCUGCUGUACCGUAUACAGGAAAGUUGUUACGAGAGUAAAUCCUAAGAGUUCUCACAAGGGAAAAAUUUUUUUGUCCUAUUUCUUUAAUGUUGUAUCUAUAUGAGACGAUACAAAAUUUACUGUGGCAAGCACUUUAUGAGGUAAGUGAAAGCAUUAUGCUGUAUACCUUAAAUUUAUGCAAUGUUGUAUGUCAAUUGUAUACCUUAAAUUUAUGCUAUGUUGUAUGUCAAUUAUAUCUCAAUAAAACUGGAGGAAAA